UGCAGGAUCUGGUCGAUGAAGGUGCGGUCCUCGCCGUAGGACGGCGUGCGACGGCUUUCGAUGGCGAUCGUCUUGCCGUCCUGCAGCC
rnacentral:tRNA from 1 species